GACGAACGCUGGCGGCGUGCCUAAUACAUGCAAGUAGAACGCUGAAGAGAGGAGCUUGCUCUUCUUGGAUGAGUGGCGAACGGGUGAGUAACGCGUAGGUAACCUGCCUUUUAGCGGGGGAGGACUAUUGGGAACGAUAGCUAAUACCGCAUAACAAUGGAUGACACAGGACAUUUAGGUGAAUGGGGCAAUUGCUGCACUACAAGAUCGACCUGCGUUUUAUUAGCUAGUAGGUGAGGGAAUGGCUCACCUAGGCGACGAUACAUAGCCGGCCUGAGAGGGUGGUCGGCCCAACUUGGAACGGGGACCCGGUCCGACCCCCACGGGGGGCCGCCGUAGGGGAUCUUUGGACAUUGGGGCAAAGCUGAACGCGCCACGCCCCGGGAGUGGAGGAAGUUUUCGGGUCGUUAAGGUCUGUUGUUAGUCAAGAAAGGGUGGGAGAGUGGAACGUUCACACUCUGACGGUACCUUACCAGAAAGCACCGGCUAACUACGUG
rnacentral:rRNA from 1 species